rnacentral:rRNA from 1 species
GAUGAACGCUGGCGGCGUGCUUAACACAUGCAAGUCGAACGGGAAACCUUUUAUUGAAGCUUCGGCAGAUUUCGCUGGUUUCUAGUGGCGGACGGAUGAUUAACGCGUGUGUAACCUGCCCUAUACAGGGGGAUAACAACCAGAAAUGGUUGCUAAUACCGCAUAAGCGCACAGGGCCGCAUGGUCCGGUUUGAAAAACUCCGGUGGUAUAGGAUGGACCCGCGUUGGAUUAGCCAGUUGGCAGGGUAACCGCCUACCAAAGCGACGAUCCAUAGCCGGACUGAGAGGGUGAACGGCCACAUUGGGACUGAGACACGGCCCAGACUCCUACGGGAUGCAGCAGUGGGGAAUAUUGCACAAUGGGGGAAACCCUGAUGCAGCGACGACGCGUGAAGGAAGAAGUAUCUCGGUAUGUAAACUUCUAUAAGCAGGGAAGAUAGUGACGGUACCUGACGAAGAAGCCCCGGCUAACUACGUG